rnacentral:rRNA from 1 species
AACGCGAAGAACCUUACCUACCCUUGACAUCCUAGGAAGACUGCAGAGAUGCGGUUGUGCCGAAAGGAACCUAGAGACAGGUGCUGCAUGGCUGUCGUCAGCUCGUGUUGUGAGAUGUUGGGUUAAGUCCCGUAACGAGCGCAACCCUUAUCCUUAGUUGCCAACAUGUAAUGGUGGGGACUCUAAGGAGACUGCUGGUGAAGAACCGGAGGAAGGUGGGGACGACGUCAAGUCAUCAUGGCCUUUAUGGGUAGGGCUACACACGUGCUACAAUGGGGCGUACAGAGGGUAGCCAACUCGCGAGAGGGAGCCAAUCCUAGAAAGCGCCUCGUAGUCCGGAUUGAAGUCUGCAACUCGACUUCAUGAAGUUGGAAUCGCUAGUAAUCGCGAAUCAGAACGUCGCGGUGAAUACGUUCCCGGGCCUUGUACACACCGCUAGUC